GAUGAACGCUGGCGGCGUGCCUAAUACAUGCAAGUCGAGCGAAUGGAUUGAGAGCUUGCUCUUAUGAAGUUAGCGGCGGACGGGUGAGUAACACGUGGGUAACCUGCCCAUAAGACUGGGAUAACUCCGGGAAACCGGGGCUAAUACCGGAUAACAUUUUGAACCGCAUGGUUCGAAAUUGAAAGGCGGCUUCGGCUGUCACUUAUGGAUGGACCCGCGUCGCAUUAGCUAGUUGGUGAGGUAACGGCUCACCAAGGCAACGAUGCGUAGCCGACCUGAGAGGGUGAUCGGCCACACUGGGACUGAGACACGGCCCAGACUCCUACGGGAGGCAGCAGUAGGGAGUCUUCCGCAAUGGACGAAAGCCUGACGGAGCAACGGCGCGUGAGUGAUGAAGGCUUUCGGGUCGUAAAACUCUGUUGUUAGGGAAGAACGAGUGCUAGUUGAAUAAGCUGGCACCUUGACGGUACCUAACCAGAAAGCCACGGCUAACUACGUGCCAGCCGCCGCCGUAA
rnacentral:rRNA from 1 species